rnacentral:rRNA from 1 species
AUUGAACGCUGGCGGCAUGCCUUACACAUGCAAGUCGAACGGUAACAGGUCUUCGGAUGCUGACGAGUGGCGAACGGGUGAGUAAUACAUCGGAACGUGCCCGAGAGUGGGGGAUAACGAGGCGAAAGCUUUGCUAAUACCGCAUACGAUCUCAGGAUGAAAGCAGGGGACCGCAAGGCCUUGCGCUCACGGAGCGGCCGAUGGCAGAUUAGGUAGUUGGUGGGAUAAAAGCUUACCAAGCCGACGAUCUGUAGCUGGUCUGAGAGGACGACCAGCCACACUGGGACUGAGACACGGCCCAGACUCCUACGGAGGCAGCAGUGGGAAUUUUGGACAAUGGGCGCAAGCCUGAUCCAGCCAUGCCGCGUGCAGGAUGAAGGCC